AGCUCCGUGCCUCCUCUGUUUCAAUAAACCCGUGUUAUACCCUGCUCAGAGGAGUCUGCCUUUCAUUCAGCUGCCACGGUUGUUUGCACCAUCUACGUGCCCGUCGCUGGAGGUGGGAUCCAAGUUCCCACAGGGAGGAGGUGGCUCGCCCUGCCUGCCACCCCGACCAUUCCACGUUGCCGCAGUGGGAAAUGCGCUGAGCUAGCCUGUGGCCGCGCUGGUCAGCGCAAACCGGACACUGCGACAUGUGACUACAGUUGGGACUGUCACAGAUAUGUUCCUGUACUAUUGCUGUUUUCCUGUUUGUAGUCAGAUGGAUAUAGAUGAUCAUACUUUCAGAAAUUCCAGAGUAACUACAUGACGACAGAUAGUGCCCACUGUCUGUAUCUGCAGCUGCAAAAGCUCUGGAGGAAAUAAUCUGUCAUAGCCCUGAUGAGGCAUCUAUGGGUGACUGCACAACAGAACAGAGUCUCCAGGUUGCUGCUAAAUGAGCCUGAAAUAGGAAGUCAUUACCUUGGGUACAGAAAUAUUAUUUUUAAUUCAGACUGUUUUUCAGACCCAAGCCACUGUCAGUGCUCAUCACACUGUCUUAAACAAAUCUUCUCUCAUGCUCUGCUCCCCUGCACAGCUACACACGUAUGGAUCUCACCCAUACAAUCCAAGAUAAAAUCCAAGAUA